GAGAACCGGCAGUACCUGUCAAGAACUUAACAACAGCAGUCUUCAGCAGAAGUUCCAGUCAUACUUACCGUGGAUUAAACUUUGAAGUGAUUUAGUGACAUAUGGAUCUUAUCAUUUGCAUCACGGUCAUGUGUUACGCAAAUAUGGAAUAAUUCUAUCAAGUUACCAUUGGACCCGGACCUGCCAAAGGGGAACCCGCUUACCUAUCUCCUAAAUCACACUAAAAACAAGAUGUGUUUGUAUACUUUCGGAUUCAUUUCAUUGGCCUCCGGAUGAUGCAGCCCAAGUACUCACUUCCUAUCCUUAUGGUUCACGUCAAGUGUUUGUUUGUCAUUCAGAAGUUUAUUUUUGUGGUUCGAUGAUAUACAUUACAAUUAAAUUCAUUGUAACUUA